rnacentral:lncRNA from 1 species
CGCUGUAUUUGAGUUUAGUCCCUCAGUGCUUUUCUGUUUGGCCAGCCUGAGGCCACUUUUGGAUUUUCUCUUUGCAGGUCACGGAGAGAAUUCAAGUUUAGAAGCUACAUAUUGGUAUAAAAAUCUAAUUCUGUAAUGGGUGUGUCGCCUCGUGUCUGUGCUGUUUGGAGAAGAGGAAAAGAAGCCAAGCUGUGGUGAUGAAAAACUCAUAAAAAUUACAGAAUGGAACCUCAGAGAUCAUCCAUGGGCAGGGAUGUCACCCACUAGAUCAGCUUGCUCAAGACCCCAGUGUAUUGUGUGACAGAAGUAUUGAUUCCUUCUGGGAUGCAUCUAUUCGGCUCUUAUUUUGGAAAGUAAAAACUAUGGUAAGGUGAAAGUAUGGUUUAACUCAUUAAAAAUGCUUGGGGUUUUAUUUUAAUUCAUGUUCAAUAUAUAGAAGAAGGGGCUAAAUGCAGUUCUUUGGGGUAGGAUUAUCUCUCUAAACUCUUUGCUUGUGAUGGAAU